UUGUGUGGGGGCAGCUCGGAGAGGUACUAGGGUCCUAGGACAGGUUUGAGAGGCCCCUCUGCUUGGUUCCCCUUCGGCGCCUGGGGGCGCCCUCUGGCCCCAGAGACCCGCCUCUCAGCUCUGCUUUUCCUAAAACCCAGCCCCGCAGCCCGGGCCGGACCCAGGUCUGCCCUUUUCCCUCUCCCCCCUCCUUCUUCCCUUCAGCCCUCCCCCUCUUUGCCUCCCUCCCCCUCCUGCGUUACUUCAGUCUUUAAAGACCCGCAGGCAGGAGGAUUCCAUCCCCCCCAUAGCUCUUAGAGAACCCAGGACCGGGUCCUUCCUGGACUCCGGGGGCCCAUCAAAGCAGGCCUGAGCAAACUGACCCCUUUUACGAUUGGGGGCAGGGGUGGCCAGAGGGAGAGGAAAUCAAAGGAGAACUAAAGGCUGGGUCUUCUGUGCACGGGAAGGGUAGGAUUCACUCCCAGAGGUCGAAGAAUAGAGAGGAGCGAAUUCUCCCACACGCCCCCACCCUCUGGGGCCUUCCUGACCCCGCUCUGCCCAUCCUCCUCCUAGCUCCGCCUCUGCCAGCUACUCUGGGGGACUAGGUUGGGAUUCUCCACUUUUACGGAAGGCUCUAAGCAGCUGAGAAACACCUUCCAUGUGUCUAACUCCAGUUCUCUCAGUUGCAAGUUAAGCCGGAACUGAGAGACAGAAACCAGCCUGCCCUAGUCAAGGGCAGUUAGGGCCCAGCCAGCCUCUCCACAAGAAGCAGGGUAAGGUGGGGCAGUCAUCUCUCUGGACGCUUUGCCCCAGCCUGAGCCAGCCUCCACUUUGGAAUCGUUAUAAGAAUUAAAUGAGCUGACCCCUGGAAAGCGUUUCAUCAAGUGUGCAAUGCUACUCAAGGUGGAGGGACUAAGCCACUUCCUUCUCUCACUGCUUGACUGAGCCUGCCUCCAGCCCCACCCCCUGAUGUUUACUGCUUAUGGAGGAAGAGAUUAACUGAAGCAGGCCCACACAUUCAUGAAGGUGGAAGGAAGAUGCACCAGGAGAUGACAGAGAGGGAAACAGAGGAAGACGGGACCACAGACACGGGGAGGAAAGGCUGAACAAGGCAAUGUCCUGACUCAUUCUGACUCUUCCCUGUGCUGGAUCUGGGUUCCAAAGUCUCUACCCACAUUCCCCUUCACUAGGUUACUCAACCUCCACCAGACUGCUAGGUCAAGGGUGGACAAACACAGACGAACGGGAUCUGGAUGGCCCCUGGGCAGUACUGACUUCCCCUACCAUUCCCACAGCAAGAAAUGGGGGUGAUUCCAUUAGCCGACUCCCCUACGCUGCAGUGAGACAGCCUGUAGGGAAGUGGGACUCAGACCCCAAGGUCUCUGUUUUGGCUUUGUUCCCUCAAUAUCUCCGUUUCCCCAUGGGAGAGAAACUCACUGUCCCACCUGCCCUUCCCUCCCAUCAGCUUUAAGAUUCUCCCGCUGCCCCUCUUCUGAGACUCACCCAGUCUCACACCUCCAUCAGCGUCAACUCCCCACCCAUGGCCUGUGGUGAGAAGGUGCUAACAACACGAUCUGCUUUCAUCUUGACCUUUGCAGCCCACCCAGAGAAAAGGGAAUCAUGGCCAAAAAAAAGGCUGGAAGAGGGGAGAACCCUGGCACUGUGGGUGGGGCUGGGAGGAGCCCAGGCAACCUUACUGGUGAGAAUCUCACGGCUCUUCAAGGUGAAUAUAAUAAUGACUUUUCUGGGGGUUCUCUCAACACUCAGAAUCCGCCCCAGUGGGAAAGUACAUGCAUACUUGGGGAGGCCAGGGGAGGAAAAGGGGGACGGCUCACUCUGCCAGUAAAUGAAGAAAGUGGAAAUGAAUUCAAGGAGCCGGCAGAGCUCCCAGUUUCACCAGAGCCUGAGGCUUGGUAAUAAGGAUGAGAGCAAUGUGCCUUCACUUCCUGGGAUCAGAACAGCACAUGGCCGCACACGAACUGGUAUGCAUGUGCUUCCAUAAUCAUACACUUUCCCAGCUUCUCUGCCUGUGGUCUAAUUUCAACUCCUUCAGCUGCUGUAUCCACCCAUAAAAUUAUGAGUGUAAAAGCAUUUUGCAAACGCUGAUACUCUAUGAAGAAGUAAAAAGUAGUGCUGUAAUCAUUAUCAUUGUUAUGUCCAGUGGUUGAGGUUUCUCCUGCCCACCUGUCAGCUAUGUGAGGCCUAAAGAGAGGGAGGGCUAGGCCAUUCCUCAACUUCUGAGGUUCCUGGCCCUUUUCCCCUUCCAGUUGUCCACAGCUGACUAUUAAGCUGGGAGCAUAGGGGAAAGCAGAGAAAAGGUGAUUUACUGGGACACAGAGACACAGGCUGGAAGACAUAGCAUGUGUUCUCUUAAAAUUUGAACCAUUUG